AUACGGAGGGUGCAAGCGUUAAUCGGAAUUACUGGGCGUAAAGCGCGCGUAGGCGGCUUGAUAAGUCGGAUGUGAAAUCCCCGGGCUUAACCUGGGAAUUGCAUUCGAUACUGUCAGGCUAGAGUGUGGUAGAGGGAAGUGGAAUUUCCGGUGUAGCGGUGAACUGCGUAGAUAUCGGAAAGAACAUCAGUGGCGAAGGCGGCUUCCCGGAUCAACACUGACGCUGAGGUGCGAAAGCGUGGGGAGCAAACAGGAUUAGAAACCCUAGUAGUCC
rnacentral:rRNA from 1 species